ensembl:snRNA U4 U4 spliceosomal RNA
AGCUUUGUGCAGUGGCAGUAUCAUAGCCAAUGAGGUUGAUCCGAGGUACGAUUAUUGCUAAUUGAAAACUUUUCCCAAUACCCUGCCAUGACGACUUGCAAUAUAGUUGGCAUUGGCAAUUUUUGACAGUCUCUACGGAGA